AUGCCGGCGGGGCGCCGAGGCGGGGGCCGCGGCCGGGCAGAGUCUGCGAGUGCCGCGCCCGGGCAUUACCAGCCCCGGGGAGGCGCCGCCCGCAAGGACACCUCUCCGUCCCGCCUCGUCCGCAACUCCGGUCCUUGUCGAGCUCGACGCGAGCCAGGAGUCCGGACGUCCCUCUGCGCGCGGCUCAGCAGCUUGAGCAGUCCUCGCUGCCCCAGCUCGGAGCCAACUCCCUCUCGGACCUGGGGCUCCCGACGCGGAUUUUCAGCCACUUCUCACCUCGGGGCUGUGCCUGCCUCCCGCUCGCUCUCCCGCUGCCCUCCUUCUCCGCUCAGGACGGGGGUGCCAAGAUGCCCCGCUACUGCCCAGGGCCCCGGGCCGCCCCCGACGUGUGACCCCAGCCUGGUCCCCCUGCUCGGCCGUCCACCUUCCCCUUGGAGACCCCCGGCCCGGCCCCCGGGGGAGGAGGAAGAAGACGACGAGGCCGAGGGGGGGAUGUCCAGCUCCAAAAGCGUGAGCCCCCCGGGCUACGCGGCGCAGACAGCGGCGGCGCCGGCGUCCCGGGGAGGCCCGGAACACCGCUCCGCGUGGGGAGAGGCCGACUCCCGCGCCAAUGGCUACCCCCAAGCCCCCGGGGGUUCGGCCCGCGGCUCCACCAAGAGACCUGGGGGGGCGGUGACCCCGCAGCAGCAACAGCGCCUGGCCAGCCGCUGGCGCAGCGACGACGAAGACGAUCCUCCGCUGAGUGGCGAUGACCCCCUGGCCGGGGGCUUCGGCUUCAGCUUCCGUUCCAAGUCGGCCUGGCAGGAGCGCGGCGGCGACGACUGCGGUCGCGGCAGCCGGCGGCAGCGGCGGGGCGCGGCCGGCGGGGGCAGCACCCGGGCGCCCCCUGCGGGCAGCGGCGGCGGCUCGGCUGCUGCGGCCGCCGCAGCGGGCGGCACAGAGGUGCGCCCCCGUUCGGUGGAGCUAGGCCUGGAGGAGCGGCGUGGCAAGGGCCACGCGGCCGACGAUCUGGAGGCCGGCGCCGUCGAAGAAGACGAAGGGUCCGGGGAUGGGGGCAGCUCGGCAGGCUCGGGCGCAGGGCCUGGUGCGGUGCUGUCGCUGGGCGCCUGCUGCCUGGCACUGCUGCAGAUAUUCCGCUCGAAGAAGUUCCCAUCGGACAAGCUGGAGCGGCUGUACCAGCGCUACUUCUUCCGUCUGAACCAGAGCAGCCUCACGAUGCUCAUGGCUGUGCUGGUGCUCGUGUGCCUCGUCAUGUUAGCCUUCCACGCGGCACGGCCCCCGCUGCAGCUGCCCUACCUGGCUGUCCUAGCGGCCGCUGUGGGUGUGAUCCUCGUCAUGGCCGUGCUCUGCAACCGCGCCGCCUUCCACCAGGACCACAUGGGCCUGGCCUGCUACGCGCUUAUUGCCGUGGUGCUGGCCGUCCAGGUGGUGGGCCUGCUGCUGCCCCAGCCGCGCAGUGCCUCUGAGGGCAUCUGGUGGACUGUGUUCUUCAUCUAUACGAUCUACACGCUCCUGCCCGUGCGCAUGCGGGCUGCGGUACUCAGCGGGGUGCUCCUGUCCGCCCUCCACCUGGCCAUCGCCCUGCGCACCAACGCCCAGGAUCAGUUCCUGCUCAAGCAG